rnacentral:rRNA from 1 species
UACGUAGGGGGCAAGCGUUGUCCGGAUUUAUUGGGCGUAAAGAGCGUGUAGGCGGCCUGAAAGGUCAGCUGUGAAAACUCGAGGCUCAACCUCGAGACGUCGGUUGAAGCCAUCUGGCUAGAGUCCGGAAGAGGAGAGUGGAAUUCCCGGUGUAGCGGUGAAAUGCGCAGAUAUCGGGAAGAACACCCGUGGCGAAGGCGGCUCUCUGGGGACGGUACUGACGCUGAGACGCGAAAGCGUGGGGAGCGAAC